ensembl:miRNA MIR599 microRNA 599
AAAGAUGCGCUGUCCACAGUGUGUUUGAUAAGCUGACAAGGGACAGGAGUUCUUUUCACUGUUGUGUCAGUUUAUCAAACCCAUACCUGGACGAC